GGAGGCUUAGCUCAGCUGGGAGAGCAUCUGCCUUACAAGCAGAGGGUCGGGGGUUCGAUCCCUCAGCCUCCACCA
rnacentral:tRNA from 2 species